UACGAGAGGCCCAAACGUUAUUCGGAUUUACUGGGCUUAAAGAGUUCGUAGGCGGCGCGGAAAGUAGGGUGUGAAAGCCCUCGGCUCAACCGAGGAAUUGCGCUCUAAACUACCGUGCUCGAGGAAGCUAGAGGUGAGCGGAACUGAUGGUGGAGCGGUGAAAUGCGUUGAUAUCAUCAGGAACACCGGUGGCGAAGGCGGGUCUCUGGGCCGAUACUGACGCUGAGGAGCGAAAGCGUGGGGAGCGAACAGG
rnacentral:rRNA from 1 species